UGGCGGAGGGGGUACACCGGAUCCCAUUCCGAACUCCGAAGUUAAGUCCUCCAGCGCCGAUGGUACUGCGGCAGACGCCGUGGGAGAGUAGGACGCCGCUGAGC
rnacentral:rRNA from 1 species